rnacentral:rRNA from 1 species
GACGAACGCUGGCGGCGUGCUUAACACAUGCAAGUCGAACGGUAAGGCCCUUCGGGGUACACGAGUGGCGAACGGGUGAGUAACACGUGGGUGAUCUGCCCUGCACUUCGGGAUAAGCCUGGGAAACUGGGGCUAAUACCGGAUAGGACCACUGCCUGCAUGGGUGGUGGUGGAAAGCUUUUGCGGUGUGGGAUGGGCCCGCGGCCUAUCAGCUUGUUGGUGGGGUGAUGGCCUACCAAGGCGACGACGGGUAGCCGGCCUGAGAGGGUGACCGGCCACACUGGGACUGAGAUACGGCCCAGACUCCUACGGGAGGCAGCAGUGGGGAAUAUUGCACAAUGGGCGCAAGCCUGAUGCAGCGACGCCGCGUGAGGGAUGACGGCCUUCGGGUUGUAAACCUCUUUCAGCACCGACGAAGCGCAGGUGACGGUAGGUGCAGAAGAAGGACCGGCCAACUACGUGCCAGCAGCCGCGGUAA